GCGCCUGUAGCUCAGCUGGUUAGAGCAUCAAUCUUAUGAGUUGAAGGUCCGCGGUUCGAGCCCGCGCAGGCGCA